UUGUAAUUGAAUUGUAAAUUAUCUUCCGGCAGAUAACUCUAUUUAAAAAAUGAAGCUUUAGAAAGCAAUGAUAUACCUCUUAAUAUCGGAAAUUAUCGGAGUUAUCCAGUUUUUCGGUUAUUUUAUGAACUGCUAGCAACACUUGAACGAAAUGUCAAAAUAUUUAACAUUGGAAUCAAGAUUCGACAAUCAAAAUGAAAUGUAAACAAACAAAUGAAAGCUUAUAAGUAUGUAUAACUGUUUUGUUAUUUUUAUGGUUCUUAUAUGACUACUAAUUGGUUACCCAGCUAAUAAAUGAACACAUUCUUCAGCACGGAAAAAAACUGAAUCACAUUCGUGUGGUAUUUCGCAGUGCCUUAUUAUAAACAGUGUGGUGAUGAGGGGUUCCAGAUUUCCAGAUUUCCGCAAGCUAUGUGAGUAGAAGCGAGCACAAGUGUGACUACCGAAUUGGAUGAACCACGGACAGUAUCCAGUUAUUCACCAUAAAUUAAUGAUACCAACAGGCUUUAGUAUGAACGAAACUAAAACAGACAAUGUGUUAUUAAUGGGAUAAUAUUUAUUUGAAAUGCCACUGACAUUUCAUCAAUGAAUACUCUGCUCAAUGAAGUAUAAGCAUGCUUCGAACUAAGUAUAGUAUGAAUAUAAGUAUUACCACUUAUAGAGAAACUGUUUAGUUCAAAGAAGAACCAUUGACGUGAAGAAAACAAGGAAAUAGCAUGCAAGAAAGUGCCCUGAAGUCAGGAGUGUCACACAAUAAGUCAUCAAGAAUAAUAUGUGCCAUUAAUUUGAAAGAUUUCCAAGAAGUGGCAGUGAAAAGUUUUACAUGAAUAUUACUGAAAUAACCGACUGAUCAACAGGUCAAACUAAAGCUCAAGAUUAUUUAUUCAAACUUGGCUGCAGCACAGCACCUUUGGAACUUAAUAAUUUACCAAAGGCAACCCGAAAAUGAUCUCAUCCUUGAACACUUCCUAUGUGUUUUUAAUGGGAAGAAGUGGCAUAGCAAACUCCUCAGACCCAUGUCUAUAUGUAGUCUAGAAGAACCUUCCAACAAUGUUUUUUAGUUUUGCAUACAAUAUGCAAUAUGGAUAUAAUUGUAUAAAUGUUUUUUAAAAACAGAAUAAACUUAUAGAAUCACCGAGCCACCUCAAGCAAAAUUGUAGCCAAGUAGUCCAAUACAUGUAUAAUAUGUGUGUAGUUUGUGUGCAAGCAAAACAAAAUAAAAUGAAAUAAACAAAACAUUUAUUUGAAAAAAAAGGAACUCAAGAUUCAAUGGUAUUUUUGUGAGAGGGGGAAAGUAAUAUAAAGAACCUCUGUGGAAAAUCAUUCAGUAAUAUCUUGUAAUCCAGAAUUGAGACUGAGUAUAUGAUGGACCUGCUAUGGGUGUUUUCAAGAGUUGGUGGUCGACUGCUGCAGUGUCAUACCAUACCAAAUAUCUCCACGCAAUAAAUGAAACAGAGCUAAAAUCAUAUGGGUUAGUACCAAAAGCACUCGUACCGCUUCGCCAUAGUCUCAGCACCAGAUCCUGCCAUGAUGAUAAUGGAACUACAUAUUCAUAGUUUUCAUUGUGAUUGUUUUACUUACGCUAGAAACAAAUGAAGGAAACAAAAGUGCAGCAGUAAUGACUACCUAAUGCUGUACCGUAAACAGUUUAAAUACUUUGCAUGUUACUUACAACAACUUUACCUUACCUAUGUUACAAGGUAAAGUGUAUUGAUACCAUAUUGAGACACCAGAAAAAUUUCCAUCCUACUU